GGACCUGAGAGUGAUCUGGCUCUGACAUCUGUCACCCCAUUGAUUGCCAGGGUUGAUUUGGCUGAUCUGGCUGUCCAGGAGGGUGUCUGCUUUCUCCUUCACUGCUCCAUGUGUGUCCUUCCAGAAGCUUCAAGUUCAGUCAAAGAGGACAACCUUUUCCAAUAGAGGAGGACUGUACCUCGGUCAAGGGUAUAUGAGUAUCUGUGCUCUCCUGCUAGAAAUUCCAAACAAGCUCUCUAAGUCUAAGGCCAGGGAGGGCAAGGGGAACUAGGAGAAAUAUCAAAUGGGUACAAUGGACCCCACACCCAUGCCAGUAGAAGGUGAUGAUAGAAGAGGUUUCUCUUU
rnacentral:snRNA from 1 species